AUGCAGAAAUACAGCCUGACAGAGAAAUACAGCCGUCCCACCGACUGCAGGGUUGUUUGGUGGCUGCAGGAACACCAGGCUGAGCUGCAAGCUGAAAUAACCUUUGGGAAUAUGUUUCUAUGUGCUGAUCAUCACACACGUGAAACCUGCAUUCAGCUGCUAGGGAAUGAGGGUAGAAGAGAUUGUGAAAACGUUUGUCAGAGAGAUUAUGGACUUAGAAUUGUACUAAAAUGCUGUCAUUUGUUAGCUUUAUUUGCUUUGAUGGUUAAUAAUCACUUUUGGUUUGGGAAAAGGAAAUUGUGUUGUUCUUCGUUUUUUUUUAAUAUGGCACAUUAGCAAACUGUGAUACAACACUGAAGUGUCAGUCCUGCUUGGAUCACACUCCCCAGGUGCAACAAAACGUGAGUCUGUGAAACAUACACAUAAAGCAUCUCACUUCUUUUUGUAUCUGCCAUCAAUAAAUGCUAGUAAAAAAUGAAGACA
rnacentral:lncRNA from 1 species